rnacentral:rRNA from 1 species
GUAUUGAGUGCGGACAUCUAAUCUCAAUUAAAGAUUUAUCGGGUGAUGGAUGGGGAUGCGUCCGAUUAGCUUGUUGGCGGGGUAACGGCCCACCAAGGCAACGAUCGGUAGGGGUUCUGAGAGGAAGGUCCCCCACAUUGGAACUGAGACACGGUCCAAACUCCUACGGGAGGCAGCAGUGAGGAAUAUUGGUCAAUGGGCGAGAGCCUGAACCAGCCAAGUAGCGUGCAGGAUGACGGCCCUAUGGGUUGUAAACUGCUUUUAUAAGGGAAUAAAGUGGGGCUCGUGAGCUCUUUUGCAUGUACCUUAUGAAUAAGGACCGGCUAAUUCCGUG